rnacentral:lncRNA from 1 species
CCCCCCCCCCCAAGUUCACGGCAGCCUACUCCCAAGAAAGAUCCCAUUUUUUCUUUUUGUAUCUGAUCAUCUUCUAAAAUUUUAGCGUUGACCACCAAAUCCAAAACAAGAAGCUUCAGCCACCUCUUUGAAGUAAAAAACUAGCCCAACUCCAGCAGGCUUUUAGCUGCAAAAAUCACCACAAAAUCAGCCCAGAAACAUCUCCUUUUCAACCACCAAAACACAACACCUUUCUCUGCUGAAAAACAACCCAAAACUCCAUGAAAACUGGCCAAAAACUCUAGCAAAACACCCCCCAAACUUUAGCUGAAAAAACAGCUUGAAAGCAGUCCAAAAACGACCCCAAACUAGCCCCAAAACAGUUGUGUUACUACUGAAAAUCAACCAUAUAAACAACCCAUUUUCCUUCAUAUCUCAACCUCCUCGCACCCCAUUAAAUCGCCUUAUGUCUGGUGUAAAAAUCAGCACAAUACUGGAAGUAGAAUAGGUUGAAAAAUAGUCCAAACAGGCCAUGAAACAACUUUGUUUAAUUUUCUACCCACGACUAUAGUCGAGUGAGUCCGAGAAUCAGAGGUUCCAUUGGAGGUCGCCUUUGAGGUUUCGGUGCCGUUGCGUCUCUUUUGAGUUUGGAGUCUAUUCGGCGUCAAUUUUAUCUGUUGUAAUUUCAUUGGAGAUGCUUGCUAAUAAAGGAGAGAUUUUGUGACUAAAGGUACAAUCUUCUAUCUCAAAUCUUUGUUUACUUAUUUGUGGGUGUUUUUCUUAAAUAUUGGUUUGAGUUCCUUUUUGAAAGAAUUGUUGUGUGAAGUACCCCGUCAUAUAUUUGUUUUAAUAUUUGCCUUGAUGAUACUCCUGCUUAUUUAAAUUUAAUUCUCUCUUGUUUGUUAUUUUACACAUUGAUGAAUAUUUGCAGUAGUAUGAAUGUUCUUGGUGUUUGAUUAUAUUUCUUAAGAAAUUGGUCUUUUGGGCUAACAGAAAAGAAGAUUUUUAGGUGCAACACUUCAAGUCUAGCAGUCCAAAGUCAAUAAUAAAAUUGGUCCAAAGUCAAUAUUAGCUAGCCCAUAUGCAUAUCUCAUUUGAUCUACCGAUUGGGAUGAGAUAUUUUUUUUAGGAUCAAAUGAUUUCUUUAUGACUAUACAUACCAAAAUGAGAUGACUUAGGACAUAAUCAAUAAUCUUAACCUUAUAAAUAAAAUCAUGUACAUCGUAGCUUGCUUUAGGAGCAAUUAAUAAAUCAUCGUGAUUAUGUGUACGACUCCCAUGGCAUAGUCACGAUACAUAAUCCCCAAUUGGGGUGUACAUUUCAUGUGACCCAACUAUAACUUCGAACAAUAAUUAAAAUAAACAUGUUGUAAAUCGCGGGUGCAUUUCAUGUGAUUCAAUUUGCAAUGUGUUCAAAAAAUAAUAAGUGCACGACAUCGCGGCUUAUUUAAAUAAACUCCAUAAAUGAAUAAAGCGGUUAUAAAGUUAGAAAUGCACAAUAGGUUUAAAACAUGUAAUAAAUCAGAUAAUUUGGCCAAUUAUUAAUAGUUGAGCUAUCGUGCUAAAACCAUGGAACUCGGGAGUUCCUAACACCUUCUUCCAGGUUAACAGAAUUCCUUACCCGGUCUUCUAUGUUCGCAGACCAUAAAAUAGAGUCAAUUUCCUCGAUUUUGGAUUUGAAAUAAACUGGUGACUUGGGACACCAUAAAUUAUUCCAAGUGGCAACUUUGAAAUUAAAUAAAUAAUCCCAUAUCGAAUAAUGUCACUUAAAUUGGAAAAACUCCCUUAUAUCCCCUUUCGGGUUAAAAAGAGGUGUGACGGCCAUCUGAUCCCGACUUUGUGAAUUGCUCUCCUCGGCCUUUCCUUUUAAUUGUUGGGUGUAUGUGCAGUCUUGGGCGAUGUGAUAGCAUUAUCAGGCCGUGUGUUGCUCUCCUCGGAUGCAUAAUAUUCCCCGGGGGGGUGGGAAAUUUAAUGACUUGGUAUAAGCUGGAGGGGACAGCUUUCAUGGCGUGUAUCCACGGUCAGCCUAUGAUGGCAUUGUACACCGUAUCCUGGUCUAUGAUGUGGAACGUGUUCUCCAAGGUGACGCUGCCGGCCAGGAUGGGCAGUGUGAUUUCUCCCGAUGUCCGUUGAAAUGCAUUGUUAAAGCUUGUCAGCGUGAUACAACGUGGCACUAUCUUGUCCUCGAGCUUCAUUUGGGUGAGAACCCGAGGAUGGAUGAUGCAUGUGCCACUUCCGUCAUCGACCAUAAUAUGUCUUACAUCAGUAUCAAAAAUAUGUAAAGUAAUGACAAGAGUGACAUAGUAAGGAAAGACCAAACCAUUGGUAUUUGACUUAUCGAAGAUGAUACUUUCUUCGAGUUUAUCAUACUGUUCGUGGGUGAUGGACCGCUUGAGUUUGUGGGUGGUGGUGAACUUUACGUUGUUGAUAGAAGCGUCGUUGCCUCCUCCGAUAAUUAUUUUAAUGGUCCGAACUAGUUAAGGUGGUUUGGGUGUUCCCUGGUGAUGUUCUCAUCCUCAGGCGAAGUUGGACCUUCCACGAUCACUCAUCAGCUCUUUCAAGUGCCCUUGGUGAAGCAUGUUCACGACCUCCUGUCUAAGGGCGAUGUAGUCCUCGGUUUUAUGACCCCAUUCCUGGUGGAAUUCACAGAGGAAAUUUGACUUUCUAGUGCUCGAGUCGGAUCUCAUCUUCUGUGGCCAUUUCACUUUUAGGCCGAGCUUCUCUAGUGCGAAGACUAUUUCUGAGGGGGAAACACAAAAAUUGUAAGCUGAUAAUAAGGGGGCAUACCUUUUUCAUUUCAGUGGAUUCCCGUUCGUGGCCGGGAUGGACCUUCAUCGUGGCGUAGAGGCGGCAUGAGGGUGCCUCUGACAUAAUGCUGAUGUAUUUCUCGAUUAGGUCGGGAUCCCGCUAGAUCCCUCCCGUUAUCAUUUCUCCGGUCUUUCCUAGACUCCAUUUGGACCGAGGUCAAAUGUUGGAUAGGUCCGUUGAGAUCGUCCUUGUCGGCUCUUACCUCGGCACAGUAGGCGUUGUGUAUCUCGUCCCAAGUGGUUGGAGGGUAUUUCAUGAGUCAGCUCAGCAACCUUUUGGUCGACAACAACCCACUUCUACUUAGACCAUUCUGGAAAGUGGUUACCGCCAUUCCUUCAGAAUAUUUGGAAGGGUCAUUGUUACAUAAUUGAACUGGGUGAGGAAGUCCCUGAGCCCUUCGCCAGGCGAUUUCUUAGUGGCGAAUAUAUCGUUCACCCUCGCCUCUGCUUUUUUGGCCCCGACAUGGGCGGUGACGAACUUGUCUUCCAUUUCCUCGAAUGUUUCUAUGGAAUGCGUAGGUAACUGUGAGUACCAAGUCACAGACGUGGUUUGGUAUACUUUUUGAUCGAAAGCGUAAUUCGGAAUAUUUUGGAAGCUUCAGCUUGAAUCCGAUGUAUUUUGGGUGAUUAGAUGUUGUUUGAGGUGUUUUGAAGAUUGGUACAAGUGUGAAUGGUGGUAUGUGACUUGUUUGUGCUUUUAGUUGAGGUCACUGGGGCUUCGGGGUGAUUCUAGAUGGGUGACGGAAGAAUUUGAAAUUGAGUUUUUGCAGCUGAAGCAUUUGAUUUCUGUCAUAACCAUACCUGUGGUUGGGAGGCUGCAGGUGCGAUGAUCACAGAAGCGUAAGGCAGCCGAAGAUGCGGCCAAGUUGAAGUCCUUCAGGAACCACAAAAGCGAUGUCGGUAGCGCAUGUGCGAGUUUUUAACCGCCAAAAAUUGGCAACUUAAUGAAAACUGCAGAUGCGGUGGAUUUGGUCGCAGAAGCGGGAAAUGGACCGCAGGUGCCAAAAUGCCUGGGUCAGAAAGUAUAUAAUGUUCCUUCGCGAAUUUUUGCUAAGUUCUCCAUUUUUAAAAACGGGAAGCGAGCCAGGGCAGUGAAUUCAAGGGAAAAUCGAAGAGAAUAAGUUGGGUAAGUUCCCUGAGCUUCACUACUCAUGUUUAUGAUCAUUUUUCCAUUGUUUAAUCAUGGUAUUAGUGGAAAUUAAGGAAGAAAAUUGAGGGAUUAGGGCUUGAGAUUAAGAGACCUUUGAGUGGGGAUUUGAGGGGCCAUUUGAGGUCCGAUUUUGAUGUUCUUGAUAUGUAUAAACUCGUGGGAGGACGAGGAUUCUAUUGAUGUUAAUUUUGUCUGAUUCCGAGAUGUGGGCCUGAGGGCUGGGUUAGAGCAAUUUCGGGAUUUUGAUGUAGAUUGGAUAUUUUCGAGUGGGCUUUGUUCCCUUCGCAUAUUUUAAUGGUUAUGUGCUGAUUGUGGCUAGAUUUGGAGCAUCUGGAGGUCGAUUCGUGAGGGCAAAGGCAUCGCAAGCUAGAGUUUGGACUGGAUCGAGGUGAGUAAUGAUUGUAAAUGUUGUCCUGAGGGUACGAAACCCCGGAUUUGCAUAUCGUUGUGCUAUAUUGAGGUGACUCACACGCUAUAUGACGAACGUGGGGUCGUGCACUGUUGGGGAUUGUGACUUAGUCCAUCCCGACUGACUGUUUUACCACGUAUUUGAUUGAAAACUAUUUGCUAUCAUUAUGUUUUGGGCUGAAUGUCAUAUUUGGGCAUCGUGCCAACUAUUUCAAUCCUUAGGGGAUUUUUAUAAUUCCUCACUGUUUUGACUUUAAACUUGUACUCAAUUAUGCUAUAUUCUGCUGUUUUCAUAACUCCGCCAUGUUUACUCUGUUUUAACAUAUUAAAUGAUAUUUCAAAUAAUAUUUUGGGCUGAGCAUCAUGUUUUACUGUUGCCCGAGUGACUUACAAGAUUUUGAUUGAGUAAGGCUGAGGUCCUGUGUUGUGAGGAUACUUUUGGGGGUGGGCUGCACGCCGCAACAUUGAUACACUGAUUAUGGUUAUGAGGUCGAGGGCCUAAGAUUUGUACGCCAUGAGGUGGCUUGUUGAUAUGAGGCCGAGAGCCUAGUGAUGAUGCCACGGGAUGGCUUGAUAUUGCGCUUGGGCCGUAAGGGGUCCCUCUAGGAGUCUGCACACCCUCAGUGAGCGCGGAUACCCAUUGUGAUGGGAGACAUAGCCCGAGGGGCUGGUGUUGUUCCGUGUUGUUGCCCAAGGGGCUGUUUCUGUUGGUAUUUAUGCCCGAGAGGCAGAUUUUCUGUGCUUAUAUGUGCUAGUUGCUUUGCAUUUAAUUGCUCAACUGUUAAAAAUGUAUUUUAAAGAAGUUUAAACUGAGCUAAGAUACUUUAAGAGGUUUCAUAGCUUCAUUGCUCUCUUACUGGUUUUAUACUGCUUCUAUACAACAUGUUGACGUGCUUUAUGUGAUUUCUUAUCGCUCAGUCUUCAUUUAUUAUUAUUACUCACUGAGUCGGAGUACUCACAUUACUCUCUGCACCUUGUGUGUAGAUUCAGAUAUUUAUGCACCCGGUAGCGGGUAUUGGUUGAUCAGAGGCAGAAUCAUUGGAGUUUAGCAAGGUAGCUGCCCGACGUCCGCAACACUGCUUUUCUUCCUCUUGAUGUCAUUAGAUUGUGUUUAGUAUAUUUCCAGAAUUUCCUUUGUAUUUUAGACCUUAGUAGAUGCUCGUGACUUGUGACACCCCGAUAUCGGGUUGUAUCUAUUUCCGUAUUGUUCAUUUAAACUUACACUAUGCAAUAUCUGAUUAAUUAAAAAGGCUUAAA